CAGAGAUCAUUUUCAGUCCUGAAAAUAUCACUUUCAACUUAAGAAUCACUUCUUCAAAGUGUGAUGUCUUCCCUCUUUCAGAAGAUUUAACCUGAAGAUUUAACAUCUGCUUCCAAUUAAAAAACAGUGUUUCCCUACAAAAGGUGAUCCAAGUUGUGCUGAUUUGGCAUGUAUAAUUCUACAUACAUGUUUGAUGAUGAUUCUGAUGAUGAAAUCCCUACACAACACGCUAUUCAGGAAAGCUUACAAGAUAGGCAUAAAAUUGAAACAAGUGGCAGUGUGACAGAGGAUGAAAGUUUCCAGUAUUUUGCAAGUGAAGAACAUGAAAAGAUAAUUGCAGCAAUUCGGACAGGCCAAGAAGAGGCCUUGAUGAAGUUGGUGAAGCACAGUUCUGCUUUUGAAGAAGUGGAUCAGCAAGGCUGGCUUCCUGUGCACGAAGCUGCAGCACAGCUAAAUACGAACAUCCUUGAAAUAACUUUGAAAGCCUCCCGUGCUGUUACGUGGGAACAGACCACUCUAAAAGGGGAAACACCUCUCUUGGUGGCAGUAAGAAAUUGCUUUGUAGACAACGUCCGCGUUCUCCUGCUCAAUGGCUGUGAUCCCAAUGUUAAGAAUGAAGAGGGAGAUUCUCCUUUAGUUAUAGCAACUAAACAUGAUUCAUAUGAGAUUGCCUCCUUGUUGAUAAGUUCUGGUGCAAAAGUGAAUUUGCAGUGUGUCCACAAGAGGACUGCUUUACAUGAGGCAGCCAAACUAGGCAGGAAGAGCCUGGUGAAGCUUCUCCUUCGUUCUGGAGCAGAUCCUGACCCUCGCAGUGGGUAUGGGCUCACACCUCUAGCACUGGCUGCACAGGCUGGGCAUACAGAAAUUAUGGAGCUCUUACUGCAAAAAGGUGCGGAUGUUCUUUCACAGGCAAAGGAUUGUGCUUCUGUAUUAUUUGAAGCUGCAGGAGGAGGAAACCCAGAAUCUCUGAGUCUUUUACUAGAAUAUGGGGCUGAUGCCAAUGUGCCAAAGCACUCGGGUCAUUUGCCAAUCCACAGAGCUGCGUAUAGAGGACACUUUCUAGCCCUAAAAAAUUUAGUUCCAGUUACUAAUUUUGAUGCCAUUAAAGAAAGUGGGAUAAGUCCAGUUCACUCAGCAGCAGCAGGAGCACAUCCUCAGUGCCUUGAGUUUCUCCUCAAAUCUGGGUUUGAUGCCAAUUUCAUGCUGGAUCAAAGAGUUCGCAAAGGCUACGAUGAUCACCGGAAAUCAGCGUUGUACUUUGCUGUUUCCAAUGGGGAUAUCUGUUCAACGCAGUUGCUGUUGAAUGCUGGAGCCCUGCCAAACCAAGAUCCCAUCAACUGUCUCCAAAUAGCCCUGAGGAUGGGCAACUAUGAGUUAAUGAAUCUACUGCUCCGACAUGGCGCUAAUGUCAAUUACUUCUGCAGAGUGAAUACAACGCAUUUUCCAUCAGCUCUACAGUAUGCUCUGAAAGAUGAAGUCACGUUAAGAAUGCUGAUGAACUAUGGGUAUGAUGUGCACCGCUGCUUUGAUUGCCCUCAGGGAAACAGUUCACAUUCCCAGUAUGUGACUGAUGGAUGGACCUCUACCGUGAUCAAAGAUACAAUGUUCUGUGAAGUGAUAACCUUGUCAUGGUUGAAGCAUCUGUCUGGGAAAGUGGUGAGAGUAAUGUUAGAUUAUGUCGAUCACGUUAAUAUCUGCUGGAAGUUAGAAGCUGUUCUCAAAGAACAGGAGCUCUGGCCAGACAUCAAUUCCAUUUUAACAAAUCCUCGCUCUCUGAAGCAUCUUUGCCGCCUGAAAAUACGGGAAUGCAUGGGCCGGUUACGUCUCCGUUGCCCUGUCUUCAUGACCUUCCUUCCACUGCCCAACUGCUUGAAAGACUACAUACUGUACAAGGAAUAUGAUCUUUAUGGACAGGAAAACUUCACCGGAACAUACAACCUCAGCUGUACAUAACUAUUAGUUCUAUGUUUUGAAGGGAAUGUUGACGUGGAUAAGACUGUCUUACACAGCAGCUUGUUUUCUUUUGGGAUUUUAUCUCCUAUGUACAUUAAGGAAUACCAUCAUCCCCCCCACCCAAAGAAAAUGGGGAGAACCCCAAAAUAUUUUGAGCCUCCAGAUUCACCAAAAGGAUUUGUGCGUCUAUUAAAAAAUGAAAACAUUAAACCAGGAGUCAGAUUACAAGAACCACUGAUGAACAACGUAGUAGUCUCAUGCUGCAUCAACUGAGAACAUAUUUUGCUUGACCAGGCAGAUCCUCACUAACUGGAGAAAUUAUGUCAAAUUGUAUCGGAGUGUCAGGGGCAACAAGCGAAUCCAAGGAAAGUGCCGAUAAAGCUGCAGAUUCAGAUCCCAGUGACCCUGUGCUGCUGGUACGAGCUGCGGGGGGACGAGAUUGUCUGAAACAAAACAAGAAAUGAAAAUGAAGGAGCUGGACACCUUAAGUAAAAGCUCAUGAUUUCAUACAACAAACCAGACAGAUGAUGCAGCCAACAGAUCUGUCUCGUCAGCUGGAAAUCUGCAUGACCUGUACCAACAGGAGCUUGACGACGCUCAAAAGAAAUGAUACAUGUCGUGUGCCAGAGAAUCUUAAAGAUACCACAGCUGAGCCUCACUCCUCCCGUCAGCCUCUCUCCAGGUUAACACAUUUUCAGAAAGGAAAGGACCAAAGGAGAUGAGUAAGUUUAUAAAAAAGUUGGAACUGUAGGCAACUACUGGACCCACCACGGUACAUCCCUAAGGAAAAGGGUAAAGAUGGCUGGUAUUCAGUAGUGUGCCAGCUACACACAUCUCUUCUGCAGUGGGAUCAAAACACUGGCUGUGGCUUUGUGAUACCACCCAUCCUGCACAGAGACAGCUGCUGGCUGUGCUUGGAGCUGCACCUCUGCAGUAACAGUCAAUUCUGUCAUCAAAAGACUGAGGAACUUAAAGCCAAGCCAAACCGAAACAGUAAAACCAUCAUCUUGUUGUUUUUAAGAUACAUGAUCUUAAGAUACUCCCCUCACCAUCCACAGUUAAAGGGAAUGAAAAGAUCUGUCUUUUUUUUUUGUCCUUACCCCAGCUUGUCACUCAGGCUGUUCCUCAGCUGCUGUCACCCAAUGCCUGCUGACUAUGCAUCCCAUUGCACUGUCUGCAUCACUGAUGAGGGUGCUUAACAGUAUCCACCUCAAAAUCAACUUCCUCAUCACUGUCCACCUAUUAGACUUCAAAACACUGAUCAGCACCUUUUAAGCCCAAUUAUCCAGCCAGUUCUACUACCCAGGCUGCAGUCUGUACCUCUCCAUUUUGGCCAGAAGAAUGUUACUGGAGACCAUGUCAGAACCCUUGCUUAAGUCAAGGUAAAUGACAUCCACUGCUCUUCCCGGGGAUGAAAUGACUGACUCUGAACGAGAAGUCAAUCAGGUUGCUCAGGCAUAAUUUGCCCUUAAGCUUAAAUGAGAUGCUGACUCAGUGUUCUUGCAUCCUUUUUGCACUUGGAAGCGACGUUACUUCUCACCACAAGGAUAUCGAAUAGCUUGCUUCCACCAAGACAAAAACCCAGGAGGGGGAAGAGCAGAGAAGGUACCUAUAACUCUGCAUAGGCUACAUCUGCUUUUCCUCAUCUGAAAUACUGUUUGGGAAGCUUGGAUGCAGAAACAGGAGUAUUGCUUGCAAGACCCACAAAGUAAACCCUUCAAAUCUAGUAAUGUUUUAGCAAGAGGACUGUGCUUUGGUUUUGGAUUUACUCUAAAUUCAAUGUCCAGAGAGAAAUUGAAAGAAUCAUAAGAGUGUAACUGUUUGGAAAUUCUCUUUCUUAGUCUUCCUUAGGCUAAAUAACUGUAGUUUCCUCAAAGGGGAAGGGAAGGAAGUUAUGGGUCCCGGGAAAAGAAUGAAAGACUGACACAAGAAACCAAGAAACCUGGACAUCAGGAAAACUUUUCUGAUGAGAUUAAUGAAAAGCACUGGAUCGCUCAGCAUAUGAAUUGUGGGGGGUUUAUUAUUAGAAGAUCUUGCUAUGUUGAAGACUUGUCUUGAAAUGAUGUAGAUUUUGGUCUGUCUCCCCCUUGAAGCAUGGAGGUCUUUCUCAGCUACUUUUGUAAUUUUCUGCUUUUAAUGAUAAUCGAGGAGUACGUAUUAAACCUGCAUAGCUGA